rnacentral:tRNA from 1 species
GUUAAGGAACUAAGCAUAUUAUUUUGGAAGAUUUGCACAAAAAAUAAAUUAAAGAGUCAUUAAGAAUUGAAUUAAUG